GCUUGGUCAAAUAGGGGUUUAAGCAGAGAACCUUUGUGGUGAGAUAACAGAAUCAGAAGGGACUUUGUCUGGGCAACUGGUAGAUUUGCAGUUUUUCCAUGCAGCCAACCAAGUCAUUGGGGUUAGCAUCAUCCCAAAUGGCUAGCAAACUGAGGCACAGUGAGUAGAUAUCUGAUAUUUGUAAAGAAAUCUACAGGAGGUGAAGCUUGAAUUGUGUUUGGAGGCAGGGGUAGUUUGGCAAACUGUCAGUGUAGAACAGGAAAGGCAGGCACAUAUUGAGUGCAUUCAUCAGUGGGCCCUGACUGGAUGUGAGAAGAUGUGUCGCACUUGAGGAGAGGUGAAGGCUGCAACAGUUUCCUGCAUCAGAGGACUCCAUGUUGGACACGACGAGGAGAUGUCCCAUCCUUGGAUGCCUGUGGCAAGGACUUUGCCCCAGGUGAACCAACCCUUCUACGAUGACGCCUCUUUGCCACAGGGUGUCUUCAGAUUUUGGACCAGAGCCUACCAAACUGUAC